rnacentral:rRNA from 1 species
AGCGAACGCUGGCGGCAUGCUUAACACAUGCAAGUCGCACGGGCCGGGGGCAACUCCGGUCAGUGGCGGACGGGUGAGUAACGCGUGGGAAUCUGUCUCCGGGUGGGGGAUAACGGCGGGAAACUGUCGCUAAUACCGCAUGAAGCCCGAGGGCCAAAGCAGAGAUGCGCCUGGAGAGGAGCCCGCGUACGAUUAGCUUGUUGGUGGGGUAACGGCCCACCAAGGCUGCGAUCGUUAGCUGGUCUGAGAGGAUGAUCAGCCACACUGGGA